AGUCUAGAACGGAAGCAAAGCGGGAAAGGAAAAGAUUGAUCAAUGGAGGGCGGAAAAGAGGAAUCAGGGUUAGGGCACGAAGAGAGACCUCAGGGCUUGACGCCAUGGGAGCAGCAUUCGAAGGUGAUCCUCAUCCCUCGCUUCGAUUACAAAGCAUCUUCUUCUCUCCUCGAGCGCUCUCAUUCCGGAUUCCUCAUCACCUGCCCCAUCAAACGAGAGAAAAGUGCCACAAAGGAAGCCAUCACAAUACUUGAAGAGUAUGCUGGCCCUAUGUUUGGCAAAAAUCUUGAUGAAAGUGUUCCUGUAAAGAGAAGGAAAGUAUGUCUCAUUGAAGAGGAGGAAGGAUAUGACAAAUGUGUGGAAAGCAUAGAAACUGACAGCGAUUUGCAGGCUUGCCGUAAAGUUACGAAAGAAGCUAGCAUAACUUCGUCUAAAAUAGACGACAGUUCGAAAGCAAGUCCCAGUUUAUCAUUGGUUAAAUUAACAAAGAGCGGGUUGCUUCUUCUUACCUUCCUGAGCGAUAAUGUCCAUCAGACUGUUGAUACAUUAUCUUGUAUUUUUCAUUCUCUGGGAUCUGGAAAGCUAAAAGCACCAAUUUGGUGUAAUCGGAUCUUUCCUAUCCAAGAAACUUGUAUUUUGACAGAGGAGAACCUCAAUGCUGUGGUCUCAAAACUUUUUAAGGAAUACUUAUCCAAUAAACAGGUCACACCUGAGACGUCUAUCAAGUUUGCUGUUGGGUACAACCGGAGAGGCAUUGAUGAAACAACAACAAAGGCUAGGAAGAGCACUGAUGAGGAUUCCCAAGGAUUGGGUUUGUUGGAUCGAGAUAAGUGCUUUGAGGUUGUUGCUCGAGCUAUUAAGGUUAUUGCUAAUAAUGCCAGUGUGGAUCUAAAAUCCCCAGAGGUAGCUGUGCUCGUUGAACUGCUGCCCGUUUCAGGAGUACUGCAAGGAUCAUCAGUUGCUGGUGUAUCAGUCCUUCCACACAAUCUCCUGACCACCAAGCCUCGUCUCUGCAUCAAAUCUCUGGUCUCAGAUUCAAAAGCAGCAAAGAGAAAGGAAUCUUGAAAACCGAAACUAGAUCCCUUUGCCUCAAACAACAUAAUUUAAAUUCCUGAGCACACGAGAUCUUCCCAAAUGUAUUCACCUCACCAUAAUAAAUUCCAAGUUAAAAGAGAAGAAAGGGAGAAGAAGACAACAUCCUCUCAGCUGCUGCACAAAGGACUCAUGAUUCUCUGAAAACAGUGCAAAUUAGGAACUUCUUGGCCUGUAUUGAUGUAGUUGCAGAGGGGACCAUGUUCACAGGUAAUGCAAUAAUUUGCAUGCAAACUUCCUACUGUUAUUUGUCAUGGUGCCAUAAGAUGCAGGAUAUUGAACAGGAGACAAUUAGAAUGAUGGCAACAGACAGGGAAAAUAAAUUCAAGAGUUGGAUUGUUUUGUUCAUGUACUUUGCCCAGCUGGUUGUGUUAAAUGCUGGUCUUUCUUAGCACUGUGUUUGUGUGUUGAAGUUCUUGACUGCAAUGAUGUUCAACCAUGUUCAACUCUCUACUCAUCUCUGUCAAAGUGGUCCUAUACCAGCACUAUGCAACCAGCCUCUCUAAAACUUCAGGCAUUUACUGUAUUUGUUUGAAAUUGUUAUACUUUUUUGGUGAAGACUUGAAGAUGAAAUGGACCAUGGCUUGCUAUUA